rnacentral:rRNA from 1 species
AUACGUAGGUGGCAAGCGUUGUCCGGAAUUAUUGGGCGUAAAGCGCGCGCAGGUGGUUCCUUAAGUCUGAUGUGAAAGCCCCCGGCUCAACCGGGGAGGGUCAUUGGAAACUGGGGAACUUGAGUGCAGAAGAGGAUAGUGGAAUUCCAAGUGUAGCGGUGAAAUGCGUAGAGAUUUGGAGGAACACCAGUGGCGAAGGCGACUGGCUGGUCUGUAACGGACACUGAGGCGCGAAAGCGUGGGGAGCAAACAGGAUUAGAUACCCUGGUAGUCCACGCCGUAAACGAUGAGUGCUAAGUGUUGGGGGGUUUCCGCCCCUCAGUGCUGCAGCUAACGCAUUAAGCACUCCGCCUGGGGAGUACGGUCGCAAGACUGAAACUCAAAGGAAUUGACGGGG